UACGUAGGGUGCGAGCGUUAAUCGGAAUUACUGGGCGUAAAGCGUGCGCAGGCGGCGCGUUAAGACAGGUGUGAAAGCCCCGAGCUUAACUUGGGAAUUGCGCUUGUGACUGGCGUGCUGGAGUGUGGCAGAGGGAGGUGGAAUUCCACGUGUAGCAGUGAAAUGCGCAGAUAUCAGGAGGAACACCUAUUGCGAAGGCAGCUCGCUGGGACGCAACUGACGCUGAGACGCGAAAGCGUGGGGAGCAAACAGG
rnacentral:rRNA from 1 species